UACGGGGGGGGCAAGCGUUGUUCGGAAUUACUGGGCGUAAAGGGCUCGUAGGCGGCCAACUAAGUCAUGCGUGAAAUCCCUCGGCUUAACCGGGGAACUGCGUCUGAUACUGGAUGGCUUGAGUUCGGGAGAGGGAUGCGGAAUUCCAGGUGUAGCGGUGAAAUGCGUAGAUAUCUGGAGGAACACCGGUGGCGAAGGCGGCAUCCUGGACCGAUACUGACGCUGAGGAGCGAAAGCGUGGGUAGCAAACAGG
rnacentral:rRNA from 1 species